rnacentral:rRNA from 1 species
AUUGAACGCUGGCGGCAUGCCUUACACAUGCAAGUCGAACGGCAGCACGGGUGCUUGCACCUGGUGGCGAGUGGCGAACGGGUGAGUAAUGCAUCGGAACGUACCGUGUAAUGGGGGAUAACGUAGCGAAAGUUACGCUAAUACCGCAUACGACCUGAGGGUGAAAGCAGGGGAUCGCAAGACCUUGCGUUAUACGAGCGGCCGAUGUCAGAUUAGCUAGUUGGUGAGGUAAAGGCUCACCAAGGCGACGAUGUGUAGCGGGUCUGAGAGGAUGAUCCGCCACCAUGGGACUGAGACACGGCCCAGACUCCUACGGGAGGCAGCAGUGGGGAAUUUUGGACAAUGGGGGCAACCCUGAUCCAGCCAUGCCGCGUGAGUGAAGAAGGCCUUCGGGUUGUAAAGCUCUUUCGGCCGGGAAGAAAUCGCACAGGCUAAUACUCUGUGUGGAUGACGGUACCGGCAUAAGAAGCACCGGCUAACUACGUGCCAGCCGCCGCGGUAA